GACGAACGCUGGCGGCGUGCUUAACACAUGCAAGUCGAACGAUGAACCCGGAGCUUGCUCCUGCGGAUUAGUGGCGAACGGGUGCGUAACACGUGAGUAACCUGCCCUUGACUCCGGGAUAACUGCUAGAAAUGGUAUCUAAUACCGGAUACGACCCUCGGUGGCAUCACCAGGGGGUGGAAAGAAUUUCGGUAAAGGAUGGACUCGCGGCCUAUCAGCUAGUGGGUGAGGUAACGGCUAACCAAGGCGACGACGGGUAGCCGGCCUGAGAGGGUGACCGGCCACACUGGUACUGAGACACGGCCCAGACUCCUACGGGAGGCAGCAGUGGGGAAUAUUGCACAAUGAGCGCAAGCCUGAUGCAGCAACGCCGCGUGAGGGAUGACGGCCUUCGGGUUGUAAACCUCUUUUAGUAGGGAAGAAGCGAAAGUGACGGUACCUGCAGAAAAAGCACCGGCUAACUACGUGCCAGCCGCCGCAGUAA
rnacentral:rRNA from 1 species